GAAACACCUCCCUCCCUCUCCAACCCAAAGAAGAAAAGAGAUGGAUGCUGGGUGCCUAUAGUGGGCAGGAUAAUGGCCCCCCAAAGAUGUCCAUGUCCUAAUCCCUGGAACUUGUGAAUACGUUACGGUAAAAGGGACACUGCAGACUCAAGUAGGUUAAGGAUCGUGACACGGGGAUUAUCCUAAAUUAUGCAGCAAUCUUACAUCGGUCCUUAGAAGAUGGAGGAGAAGGCAGAAGAGUCGGAAGGAGAUGUGGUGGCAGAAGCAGAAGUCAGAGGGGUUCAGUUGCUGGCUUUGCAGAUGGGGAAGGGGCCGUGAGCUGAGGAACGCAAGCGACCUCUCCAAGCCGGAGAAGCAAGGAAAUGGAGUCUCCCCUUGAGCCUGCACAGAGCAACGCAGCUCUGCCAAGGCCUUGAUAUUAGCCCAGUGAGACCCCUUUCAGACUCCUGACCUCCAGAACUGUAAAAAGUCAUUUGUAUGUUUUAAGCCACUACGUUUGUGGUCAUUUGUCACAGUGGCAACAGACAUCCAUGGUGUCCCCCCAGUUACGAGCUCCCGUAGCACACCGCAGGCCCCACUCAUCACACUGUGCAGAACGGAGCUGCCUCUUCACUUUCCGUCGCUCCAGCUGGACAACAGUGAUGUGUGACAACGAAGAAAUACAAAGCUAAGAAUUGGAAGCUGCUACUUUCCGGCUUGCUUACCUGGCUGUGGCCAAGCCACUAAACAACUCUGACUUCAGUUCCCACAUCUUUAAGAAUGGAGACACGGGAAGGAAUCAUACGGAAUUUCCCCAUAGCAUGAAAGGAAGCAGGUGUGUGUUCCCUGCUGCCAUCUGAUUUAUUUCUCCGAGCUCCAGGAGCAGACACUCCAUCAGCCACGCAAGCAGGAAAUUGCCUUUCUGCAAAAGUUCUUCUUCAGUGUCAGCUUGAUUCACAGGAAGCUACUCCCCAAACAAAGAUGACAACACAUCCCAUCAGCUGGACAACCUCUAUGAAAAAGAGUACUCCUUUUACCAUAUAGGUCCAGCAAAAGCCCUGGGGUUGAUGUCCAUUGGCUCUGGUUGGACUAACUGAAGACGUGCCCACCUAUCCCCAGGGACAGAUGGAUGUGGUUCAUAGGCCCUCAUCCAAACCUCAUGAACCAAGAGAGGGAGGGGUGAGCUCCAAAAAUAAAUAAGGGUGCUGCUAGUUGAAGCAGG